CAUACAGGCACUUGUCACACAAGGGCAGACUCAAGCUACAGCAGUGGUAAUGUUAUCAUUCCCUCCCACAGAACAAACUCAAAAACUCAAGCUGCCUCUGGCUUCAUUCAGCAGAAUGUGCAUCAAGCAAAAGCAAAGAAGAUAAAAUAGCAGUGAUCCAAAGCUGAAGCUUGCCAGGGCACAUUUGGCAAUACAAUAAAAGAGAAAGGAACUCAAAAGAAAAAAAAAAAAAAACA